rnacentral:rRNA from 1 species
CCUGGCUCAGAUUGAACGCUGGCGGCAUGCCUUACACAUGCAAGUCGAACGGCAGCGGACCUUCGGGUGCCGGCGAGUGGCGAACGGGUGAGUAAUAUAUCGGAACGUACCUUUCAGUGGGGGAUAACGUAGCGAAAGUUACGCUAAUACCGCAUAUUCUGUGAGCAGGAAAGCAGGGGGAUCGCAAGACCUUGCGCUGAUUGAGCGGCCGAUAUCAGAUUAGCUAGUUGGUGAGGUAAAGGCUCACCAAGGCGACGAUCUGUAGCGGGUCUGAGAGGAUGAUCCGCCACACUGGAACUGAGACACGGCCCAGACUCCUACGGGAGGCAGCAGUAGGGAAUAUUGGACAAUGGGGGGAACCCUGAUCCAGCCAUGCCGCGUGAGGGAAGAAGGUCCUCUGGAUUGUAAACCUCUUUUGGCAGGAAACAAACCUGCGCUAUACGCGCAGCUGAGGGUACCUGCAGAAUAAGCACCGGCUAACUCCGUG